rnacentral:rRNA from 1 species
CAUGCUAUGGGAUGAUUAGCAUGCGAGACGUGGGUGGUUCGUCCACCCAGCGGAAUGCUCAGUAACACGUGGCAAACCUACCCUGUGGAUUGGGAUAACCCCGGGAAACUGGGGAUAAUCCCGAAUAGGAGAGGCUAGCUGGAAUGCACCUCUCUUAAAUGUUCAGGCGCCACAGGAUGGUGCUGCGGCCGAUUAGGUUGACGGUGAGGUAAUAGCUCAUCGUGCCGAUAAUCGGUACGGGCCCUGAGAGGGGGAGCCCGGAGACGGACUCUGAGACACGAGUCCGGGCCCUACGGGGCGCAGCAGGCGCGAAACCUUCGCAAUGCGUGCAAGCGUGACGAGGGGAUCCCGAGUGCCCUCGCACCGCGGGGGCUUUUCUGGAGUCUAGGACGCUCCAGGUAAUAAGGGCUGGGAAAGACCGGUGCCAGCCGCCGCGGUAACACCGGCAGCUCGAGUGGUGACCACUUUUAUUGGGCUUAAAGCGCCCGUAGCCGGACUUACAAGCCCCUGGUUAAAUUCUACGGCUUAACCGUAGGCUUGCUGGGGGAACUGUGAGUCUUGGGGCCGGAAGAGGUCGGAGGUACUCCCGGGGUAGUGGUAAAAUGCUAUAAUCCUGGGGGGACCACCAAUAGCGAAAGCAUCCGACUGGGACGGACCCGACGGUGAGGGACGAAGGUCAGGGGAUCCAACCGGAUUAAAUUCCCGGGUAGUCCUGGCUGGGGACGAUGUGUAUUAAGUUUCCCUGAAACCCCAGGAUCACGGGGUUUAAG